rnacentral:rRNA from 1 species
CAGCCGCCGCGGUAAUACGUAGGGUGCGAGCGUUAAUCGGAUUUACUGGGCGUAAAGCGUGCGCAGGCGGCCCGUUAAGACAGGUGUGAAAUCCCUGGGCUCAACCUAGGAAUUGCGCUUGUGACUGGCGGGCUCGAGUACGGUAGAGGGGGGUGGAAUUCCUGGUGUAGCAGUGAAAUGCGUAGAGAUCAGGAGGAACACCGAUGGCGAAGGCAGCCCCCUGGGCCUGUACUGACGCUCAUGCACGAAAGCGUGGGGAGCAAACAGGAUUAGAUACCCUGGUAGUCCACGCCCUAAACGAUGGGUACUAGCCGUUUGGUGCGCGAUAGUGCUGAGUGGCGAAGCUAACGCGUGAAGUACCCCGCCUGGGGAGUACGGCCGCAAGGUUGAAACUUAAAGGAAUUGGCGGG